GUGCUCGUUCAGCAGUACAUAUACUAAAAUCAGAAUGAUACAGAAAGAUUAGCAUGGCCCCUGCUCAAGGAUGACAUGCAGAUUCGUGAAGUGUUCCAUAUUUUG
ensembl:snRNA U6 U6 spliceosomal RNA